rnacentral:rRNA from 1 species
UACGAAGGGGGCUAGCGUUGCUCGGAAUCACUGGGCGUAAAGCGCACGUAGGCGGAUUGCUAAGUCAGGGGUGAAAUCCUGGAGCUCAACUCCAGAACUGCCCUUGAUACUGGCGGUCUCGAGUCCGGGAGAGGUGGAGUGGGAACUGCGAGUGUAGAGGUGAAAUUCGUAGAUAUUCGCAAGAACACCAGUGGCGAAGGCGGCUCACUGGCCCGGUACUGACGCUGAGGUGCGAAAGCGUGGGGAGCAAACAGGG